GUGCAGCAGUCGCGAAAACUCCACAAUGUGGGAAACCACGAUGAGGGAACUCCAAGUGCUUGCGCUUUGCGUCAGCUGUUCUUUUGUCUAAAAAACAAAAGAAGUAAGGGCCGGGUAAGACGGGUGCCAGCCGCCGCGGUAAUACCCGCGGCCCAAGUGGUGCUCAUUAUUAUUGAGCCUAAAACAUCCGUAGCCGGUUAGAUAAAUCCCUGGGUAAAUCAGGCAGCUUAACUGUCCGAAUUCCGGAGACACUAUCUAGCUAGGGAUUGGGUGAGGCAGUGGGUAUUCCUGAAACAAAAGUAAAAUCCUGUAAUCCUGGAAAAACCACCAAUGGCGAAGGCGCACUACUAGAACAAAUCCGACGGUAAAAAAUAAAGCCAUAGGGCGCA
rnacentral:rRNA from 1 species